UCUCCUCAUUGCACUUUGCUCUCACCCAUCACGUGACUGCUUUCAGAUGAGAGGCCUGUUACGCGUGUCUGCUAGUCUGGCUUAUGCCAGGCUCGUCAACACAAGACAAGACCACCUGUAAAGUUCGUCCCGUCAGCCUCACCGAGGCAACAAGUCUCACCUGCUACUUUCCACAAGACCUCAGUGUGUCCAAGAAAGACUUUACUGUGUAUCAUUACCUGGACGGCAAGCGGCCAGUGUCCGUGCUGGACUGCCUGUGGUUGUCGGGUAGAUUGGAGUGCGUCACGGCCAGCAGUUAUGAGUACAACCGUCUUGUCUCCAAUCGGGUCACGGUUCGAAUCCCCAGCGUGACUUGUGAAUCACACAGGAAAAUAUUCCUGCCAGAUUUCAGGAUCCAAUCCUGAUGAUCUCGAAUUUUGUCGACUUUUUCUGACUUCAGGGAAACAAGUUGCCAGGUGGCUGAAGUAGAACCUUCCGCUGACACCAACUUGACUUGCUACUUUCCUGAGGACAUCAGUCGGUCCCAAAGAGACUUUGCAGUCUAUCGCUUCAAAGACCAAGAAACAUCAGAGCUGGUCGUGGACUGUUCGUGGACUGCGGUGAGAUGAAGUGCAAUGCACAGGGCGGCUACCAGGUGGACCCCAAGAUAUCAGAUCAUGUUACAGUCAACAUACGACAGGUAUCCCAGCAACACACCGGCACCUACCUGUGUGGACUGGUGGGCGAUGGACCUGACACUUCCUUGGCCUGUAGUCUUCACCUCAAACCUCUGGACAACGUUCUACCGGAAAAAGCUCAAGAGGCGGGACACAACACGGAGGCUUUCACAGCUGUCAUCAUCGUACUUGCUAUAGCAACCAGCGCACUUUUAUUCUGGGUUGUACUUAGAGAAUGCUUAUGGCAUCGCCUCAGAUGUAGUCAGAAUACACAGGAAAGCUACGAGGAGAAAAACUAUAAAACGAGGAUGAAGAUCAGGGAUGUCAAGAGUAGAGCACGUGGAAAGCAAUGCUCCGCUCUCACCUGUCCUACAGGUGUGCUGGCAUGGACCAGACGAUUAAGGGGAAGAGUUCCAAGAAACCAUGCUGAAGAAAUUGGCGAAACCGACAACUUUUUGCUGGAGAAUUUUUCCCACAACCAGUGUGCCCUAGAAAACAACUCUAAUGGAGAUGAGAUUUUCCCUCGGACACGGAGAAGUGAUCAAACUGAAAUAGGUCAGGGAGGUUCUAGAGAACCUGACCUCAGCUCUUUCAAACAGACACCUGCUAUUCUACAGUCCCUGAUGAGCGAGUCUGUUGUUGCUGCCGUUGUUGCUGAUGAUGAUACAGGGGAUGAGAUCAACAAUGACAGGACAGGUGAAAGUGUAGACAAAAGUGCGAGGACAAAAACGAUGGAAAAGAGAUCUCAACCUGAAGAAGUUUCUGUUGCUGAGGGUGAGCAAUGCUCUGCUGUCAUCAACACGGAUACAGACCAAGAAGCAGGUAAACAAGGUGCACAAAGUGCGGGCUGCACAGCACCUUCUCCACCAGAAGAAACCCAGCCGUCGACUCCAUUAGAUGCCAGUGGAGAAAACCAACCACGUGACGUGAAAACAGAGACGAUGGGCACUCUCGAAGGGCUACACUUCAUAUGAACCCGAUUAGUGUUGAUCACCGUCCGGAAAUGUCAGAAAAAGAAAAUGGAAAAGAUAAAAAACGACCUUCAUCAAAGAAGAAAAUAACAACAAGUGAUAAGGACAACAACAAAAACAGAACAAAAUGUGAAGAGCCCAUCCGUGACUCGGAGGAGCAUGACAGUGACACCGCUCUCAAUGAUAAGCUCGCGAGAGAACGAGCUGGUCACGUGUCUCCCAGCAAAACUAAGACAAAAGACCAGCGUGCGGUCUAAAAGCAAAGCACAAGGCUGAAGCGACAGACGUUAAAGAUGGUGACAAAAUGUUAUCAAAGCUGCGAAAAUCCUUAAAAGGUGGAAAAACUGCACGGGAAGAGCCGGACUGUCCUCACAGCAAUUUAAAGAAUACGGAGGCAGUUAACAGAGAACAUGUCUUAUCAUCAACAACUCCAACCCCCGUAAUACUCCCAUUAACUAUAAGGAUCAGUCACUGACAAGCAUCAAGCAUGAUGCAGAUGAUCAGACACAUGGCAGGAUGAAAAAGAAGAAAACGAAAUAGUGACUUGGUUACCUUCUGGGAUUUUUAAAUUUUAUUGUUGUUGCUGUAUAACAAGUUAUAAUUUCAAGAUAUUUUCAGACAUUGUUUUUUUCACUACUUUUUAUGCCAGGAUGUGUUCUUUCCUUCAGUGUGUUCAUUUAUUCAAGUUCAAAGAUAAAUUCAAAUAAGCACAUUGCUUAUGGACUGGGACAUACCAUAGACUUUGUAACAUAUUGGAUAUUAGACGAAAGUUUUGUUGACUGUUAGGAAUUUUUGUACAUUUGUGGCAAUAUUAUUCACAUCUUGUGUUGUAUAGUAUGCUUUCCAAGAAAAGUGUAGCAGGUUCUCUUCCCGCUAUUAACAACAGUCAUGCGUUUAAAGAAGUUAACAUGAUUGAUAUCUAAUGAGUAUUCUAAUUAAUAAAGAAGAAUAGUGAUAAAUUUUUUGCAGGAGUCCUAAUUUAGUCUACUGUGAGGUGAAAAGUCUUCAAGUAACAAUAAUAAUGACAACAGGGAGUAACUCUGUCAGGAGUGUAAAAAGUAGUAAUGAGGGUGGCCUCCCUUUUCCGAAUGGAAGUAACAACUCCUGAGGCACCACCGUUCAGACGUUGAACCAGCCGCCGUAUCUCUUGAUACAAGCAUCGAAUUCUUGAAAAAAAUUUUAUAAUAGUUGCCUGCACUGAAGCCUCACAUGUCAAUAAACUAAAAUAAACAAGCAUGUUAUAUGUUGACAA